CCUAGGGCGGCAGCAGUGGGGAAUAUUGGACAAUGGGCGAAAGCCUGAUCCAGCCAUGCCGCGUGUGUGAAGAAGGCCUUCGGGUUGUAAAGCACUUUCAGUGGGGAAGAAAGCCUUGGGGCUAAUACCCUCGAGGAAGGACAUCACCCACAGAAGAAGCACCGGCUAACUCCGUGCCAGCAGCCGCGGUAAUACGGAGGGUGCGAGCGUUAAUCGGAAUUACUGGGCGUAAAGCGCGCGUAGGCGGUCUGAUAAGCCGGUUGUGAAAGCCCCGGGUUCAACCUGGGAACGGCAUCCGGAACUGUCAGGCUAGAGUGCAGGAGAGGAAGGUAGAAUUCCCGGUGUAGCGGUGAAAUGCGUAGAGAUCGGGAGGAAUACCAGUGGCGAAGGCGGCCUUCUGGACUGACACUGACGCUGAGGUGCGAAAGCGUGGGUAGCAAACAGGAUUAGAUACCCGUUAGUC
rnacentral:rRNA from 1 species